rnacentral:rRNA from 1 species
UAGGGAAUAUUGGGCAAUGGGCGCAAGCCUGACCCAGCCAUGCCGCGUGCAGGAUGAAGGCGCUCAGCGUUGUAAACUGCUUUUAUCUGGGAAGAACUGUAGUCCUGCGGGAUUGCUUGACGGUACCAGAGGAAUAAGCACCGGCUAACUCCGUGCCAGCAGCCGCGGUAAUACGGAGGGUGCAAGCGUUGUCCGGAUUUAUUGGGUUUAAAGGGUGCGUAGGUGGUUUAGUAAGUCUGGUUUGAAAGCUGGUCGCUUAACGAUCAGAUGUGGCUGGAAACUGGUAAACUUGAAUGCGUUGGCGGUAGCCGGAACGGGUCAUGUAGCGGUGAAAUGCAUAGAUAUGACCCAGAACACCGAUUGCGAAGGCAGGCUACUACGACGUGAUUGACACUGAGGCACGAGAGCAUGGGUAGCGAACA